CUCCUGGCUCCUUCCUUUGCAGCCCCUCUUCCUGUGGUGUCCUUUCCAGGCCUGCUCUCUGGGCCCUUUCGAAGCAUCUUUCCUGCUAUUCCUCCCUCCACCACAGGCCGCCUGUCCCUGCUUGAAAUUCCGGCUCUUCAGAGGUUCCCCCAUCUGUUGCUCCCUCCAUGGGGCUCCCACCGCCUCCUAUAGGAGGCCCUUCCCACUCUGUGCUGUGGUUGUAGGCGGACACAUCUUCUCCCUCAAGACUGAAAGCAACCGAAGCAGCCCAAGUGCAGGGGUGGCAUCCCCUUUUCCUGUGUACCCUCAGAGUUUGGUGCAGUGUCUGCAACAGAGGAGCCAUUCACUAAGUGCUUGUGGAAGGACUGAAGUCCCUACUUUCCUGGCCACUGCUCAGCACGAUGGCAGCUUGACUUGGGCUCCUGAUCCACUUGCUGUCAGUCUACGGAGGCGAGGCCAUUGAUUAUUUGUCAUACCUGUCUAUGCGGCAAAGCGCCCUGGAUCUUCACUUGGUUUCCUCAUUCAGGCAUCACUGCAAACAUCUUUUAGGCGCUUACUAUGUGUCAGGCAUUGGGCAGUGAACAAAACCUGCUUCCCGUUCUCAAGAAGCUCAACGGGGACACUGAAGAGCUGGACAGUUUCCCUCUUCCAUUUGACAUCUUAGAUCUGGCAGAAUAGAGACUUGAGGUUACAGUGCUGGGCACAUAGCAGGCUUCUUAAAGAUUCGCUGAUAACCAACUAGUGCGUGAGGAUAAAAAGAGGAUUCCAUGUCCUUUGCCUCCUAUCUACUGUGGAGGAUGUGUGAAAUGAAGUGCUAACAUGAGGGCACUGGAGAAACUUCCAGGGAAAUAGUAGAGACAAAGGGAAAGGAUUAAAGGAGGUUGGAAGACAGCUCUAAUUGUAUCUUAUUCAUGUGGUUGAUGAACUUAACACACAUCUCAAUUCCGACAUCAAAGAGGCCUGAGUCUUCUCCAUCAAAGUGACAGUUCAGUUGGGAAAGCCAUUAUAUCAUACUCAGCUCCCUGAGGACCCAGGGCACAUGGUUUAUGAUCAGUCAUCGUUGCUGAAUGAAUGGAAGAAUGGAUGAAGGCAGGGAAUUGCAAGAGAAGAGGCCAGAAUAUUGUUCUACAGGAUCCUGAUCACAGGGACACUGUGGAGUCUUGAACCAAGUUAAAGAAUACCCACCUUUUGACAUUGUUAUCAAUAGACACCUGGAUGAGAAGAAUUCAACAAACAACUUUGGCCAAGAUUCUGGUGCUUGGGGUGCACAGGUAAGAUAAACAACAAUCUGUUUUUCUUCUUCAGGGUGUUACAUACCAUGUCAGAACUUGAGAAAAUAGAUUUUAAUUAGUUAAACAGCAGAAUUAGGUUAAGGAUCAUUAGCUAAUUUUCUUCAAUCACUUUCUUAAGGCUGUAAUUAACGUUAGUUAUUUAUCCCAAAACAAUAUUUUACCUUGUAUGCACGAGCAAGUGCUAAUCACAGGUUCACCUUGGUGCAUAUUGGCCUAUGUUUCCAGAAUCUUCAACCAAAAUUUCUAAUUGUUGGAAAUAGAGACUUGAGCUAACAAAAUGCAGUUGAUAGACAGAAGGUAACAAAUGGAAUAAAGAAGACUAAGGAACAACAGCCAAAAAUUAGAAGGCUGAAUUAAUAAAAUUUAUACUCCAUGGAGAGAGGAGCCAAAUACUCUCCUUUGUGGGCAGAGGCAAAAAGAGAAGACAGUAGCACCAGGUGGGUUUGGAGGACCCAAGAGUGGUCUUUCCCACAAGUAAGGUAUGUGGAAGUGAGAUUUGGAGGGGUUUCUCACUGGUGAUAAGAUAUAUCCACAUAAUGACAUGUGAUAGUAAAACUAAAAGAUAAUCAAUUCAUAACCAUUUGCUGGACUUCUCUCUUGUCAGGAAGGCGAGUUGAAAAGAAGAGAGGUUUGUUGUAACAGUGUUUACAAACUGGGGUUCUCAGACCCCAGAGAUCUUAGGAUGUAUUCUGGGGUGUCUGAGAGUUCUAUGAAAGAAUUUUCAGAUAUUAUAUUUUCACUAUGAUGACAAAGUGACCACCCUUUCAACUUAACUAAUGGAUAUUUUGGAUUAUUUGUAUGACCACAAUAUUAUAUGGAAAGAUGACAGGAUAUUUCCUUCAUUUCAGUACCUGGGUUUGCUAUCAGUUAGAAAAAUGGGUAGAUUAAAUAUGAAAAUGAAAUGUUCAUGUCAGUUGAGAACCAAAUGGUGCCAUGGUGUGCUGAAGUAAGAAUUUGAGUAGAUAAAUGUGGUGGAAGAAUUGAGUUACACACAGCACAUGACAAUGUAACUCAAUAACAUUUAAAAAAUAUUAACUGAUUAUUAAAAAAAUUCAUUCGAGUAUAGUUAAAAUAUAUCACUUUAGAUUCAGGUGUACAACAUAGUGAUUUGAUAAGUUUAUAUAUUAUACUAUGUUCAUUACAAGUGUAGCUACCCCUUGUCACCAUAUGACAUAUUACAAUAUUAUUGAUUAUAUUCCUUAUGCUUAUGUGCCUUUUAUUCCUGUGACUUAUUUAUUACAUACCUGGAAGUUUUUAUCUCCCACUCCCCUUCACCCAUUUCUCCCAUACCUCCAGAUCCUCCCCUCUGGCAACCAUCAGUUUGUUUUCCAUGUUUCUAAGUUCGAUUCUUCUUUUAAAACUUUUUUUAGAUUCCACAUAUGAAUGAAAUCAUAAGGUAUUUGCCUUUCUCUGACUUAUUUCAUUCAGCAUAAUACCCUCUAGGUCUAUCCAUGUUGUUCCAAAGGGCAUUAUUUCACCUCUUUUGUGGCUGUAUAAUAUUUCAGUGUGUGUGUGUGUGUGUGUGUGUGUGUGUGUACACACACACAUGCCACAUGUUCUUUAUCUGUUCUUCUAUGGAUGGACACUUAGGUGGCUUCCAUGCUACUGCAAACUAUGCUGCAAUAAACAUAGGGGUACAUAUAUCUUUUCAAAUUAGUGUUUUCAUUUUCUUAGGUAGAUACCCAGUAGUGGAAUUAUUGGAUUGUGUGGUAUUUCUAUAUUCAGUUUUUGGAGGAAUGUCCAUACUGAUUUUCAUGGUGGCUUGUACCCAUGUACAUUCCUAACCAACAGUGCAUGAGGGUUACUUUGCUUCUAUAUUUUCACCAACACUUGUAUUUUUUUACUUUUUUAUUUUAGCUAUUCUGACAGAUGUAAGUU